GCCGACGUAGCUCAAUCGGCAGAGCACCUGUCUUGUAAACAGGCGGUUAUCGGUUCAAAUCCGAUCGUCGGCU
rnacentral:tRNA from 1 species